rnacentral:rRNA from 1 species
GGGCCCGCACAAGCGGUGGAGCAUGUGGUUUAAUUCGAUGAUACGCGAGGAACCUUACCAGGGCUUAAAUGGGAAAUGACAGGGCAGAGACGCCCCCUUCUUCGGACAUUUUGCAAGGUGCUGCAUGGUUGUCGUCAGCUCGUGCCGUGAGGUGUCAGGUUAAGUCCUAUAACGAGCGCAACCCCUAUUCUUAGUUGCCAGCGGGUAAUGCCGGGAACUCUAAGGAGACUGCCAGCGCAAGCUGCGAGGAAGGUGGGGAUGACGUCAAAUCAUCACGGCCCUUACGUCCUGGCUACACACGUGCUACAAUGGAUGGUACAAUGAGAUGCAACUCUGCGAAGACAAGCU